UACGUAGGGGGCAAGCGUUGUCCGGAAUUAUUGGGCGUAAAGCGCGCGCAGGCGGUUAUGUAAGUCUGGUGUUUAAACCCAAGGCUCAACCUUGGGUCGCAUUGGAAACUGCAUGGCUUGAGUACAGAAGAGGAGAGUGGAAUUCCACGUGUAGCGGUGAAAUGCGUAGAUAUGUGGAGGAACACCAGUGGCGAAGGCGACUCUCUGGGCUGUAACUGACGCUGAGGCGCGAAAGCGUGGGGAGCGAUCCGG
rnacentral:rRNA from 1 species